GUUAUCCUCAGGAAGCCCUGAGCGCUGAGAGGCACUGUUACAGAACCGAACUGGGGUCCACUCGCUAGGCCUACCUAGGUGCCUGGAAUUUCCCUUCGAGGAACGCAGGAGUUUUCUUUAUUUUCAUGCUUGGGAAGGCUCAUUAGGCCCCUAAGAGAGGGUCCCUUCCCCAUCUCAGGACUAAAAUGCAAUGAAGAUGUUGCUCAGAGGCAGCUGGAGAGGGAUGGGUCUGUGGAGGAUGCCCCGCAGAGUGAAGUCGAGAUGAUGCAGCCACCAGGGCCGGAGGGGAGGGACAUUCCACUUUUUAAAUCAGCUUUCUGAAGCAUGAUCUCCAUAUAAUCACCUAGAAGCGUACAGCACAAUGAUCUUGACAGAUGCCAGCAUCCUUGGAACCACUGCCACCACCAACGUCUCAAACCAUUCCAUCAAACCCAGAACACUCCUGGUGCCCUGAAGCGUCUCCCUUCAGUGGCAGAACCAGCAGAGAUUCAGUGGUCACAAGGCUGGUCUGGAACUCCUGGGUGCAAGCGAUCCUUCCACCUCGGCCUCCCAAAGUGCUGGGAUUAGAGGCAUAAGCCACCGCGCCCAGCCAGGAAUGGAUUUUCUCACAGUUCUCGAUGGCGGAAGUCUGAGAUCAAGGUCUUGGCAGGGCUAGGUCUCUCUGAGGCCUUUCUCCCCAGCUUAUAGGUCGCCGCCUCCUCUCUCUGUCUUUCCUUGUCUUCCUUGUGUCCACAGUUGUGUCCAAAUUCCCCUUUCUCAUAAGGACGUCAGUCAUGUUGGAUUAGGGCCCUCCCUCCUGACCUUGUUUUAGCUUAAUCUCUGCAACUUAACCCUUAACCUCAGUAAAGAUCCUAUUUCCAAAUGUGUUCACAUUCUGAGGUCCUGAGGAUUAGGACUUUGAAAGGAUUAAAACAGGCUCUUCUGGCAUAUUGACAAUUUCAGCUAAAGACUCUUGAGAAACAGCAGGUGCAAAAAGAUCACAGUGACCUCCAUGCUGUACCUUGAGAUGAAAUUCCAAUGCGAAAGAUGCCCUCUCCACCCUAGAAGGGAAAGCAACAUCCUUAUCUUUGGGAGUGAAAAGUCCAAACUGAGAGCAUACUGUGAGUACCUCAUUAGCAUCAUUCCAUUCUCUGAGCUUCCCCGCAGACUUCAGUUGCUUCUUCACAGCUCUGCUCUUUGUCCCGUCCAAUCUCUGAGUAACUAACUCACUGCUUCUGCAGGUCUUCAUUUCUGCAGGAGGGCUCCCAUGCUACAUAAAUCCUGCAUUACACUUUUCUCCUGUUAGUCUAUGUUAUGUCCAUUUAAUUCUCAGGCCCAGCCGGGACCCUAAGAGGACAGAGGUGGAGUUUUUCCACCCCUACAACUUUACCCAAUCACAAUUCAAUCCUAACAGUGCCUUUCUCUGGAGGGGCUCUGCCAGCAUGAAUUCCUUUACGGGUGGAAGCCUCACAGUCCAGUCUACCAGUGAGGUCCACAUGGGAUUGGCUGGAGGGAGCUACGAAGUCAAGCGGCGUCAGGUACAGAGAAACAAAUCCCACAUCCAAGGGCCAGGAGGCGGUAGAGCAAACCACGCACAGCCGGGUGACUUAAGGGCAAGGAAGUCUUCCUGCAGGAGGUGAAUUUGGCACAAGGGAUACGUUUUUAGGCCCUGAGUGGAGGAUCUGGGUUUCAAACUGGACUUUUGAAAAACACACUCUUAUUGUAGAAGGGCCUGCGGGUUUGUUUUAAUCACUUCUCAAAGCUACGCUAGGCAUUCGCAGCUCAGGAUCCCCAGUUUAGCCUAAUAAAAAAAAGUAAUUACAUCAUAUUACAGAUAAUUUGAUUGUGUCUGAGACGAUAAUUGAGUUAAAACGCUUAUUGUAACAGACACAUCAGAUUGGCAAGGAGGAAGCUCGGCUUAAAUACAAACAGUGUUGAGAGUGGAAUUAAAGGAUUGCCAUUGCAGUU
rnacentral:lncRNA from 1 species